ACCGGGAGCGCGCACGCACCAUCACCGCCCUUUAUAUGCGGGAGCGCGCCGGACGCCUCGGCCUUUCACUGGCGUGCGUCUGAGGUCCCUGACAAGAUGCGAGCCAAGUGGAGGAAGAAGCGUAUGCGCAGAUUGAAGCGUAAAAGACGAAAGAUGAGGCAGAGGUCCAGGUGAACUGCCGAUGAUGCAGUGCUGAUCAGACUAUGUUGAAUCUUCCUUGGCAAAUGGACUCUGGACAUUUCUGCUUACAAUUGUUCCUCUUAAGAUCAACAAUUUAUGUAGAUGUUUUGGAUGCCGGUCAUGAAAGAUGCAGAACAUUGGACUGUUGUAGUGCUGUUCCAUGAUGUAUAUUAGUUACAAAAUAAAAUGUAAACUAAUGUUU